rnacentral:rRNA from 1 species
UUCCGGUUGAUCCUGCCGGAGGCCAUUGCUAUCAGGGUUUGACUAAGCCAUGCGAGUCGAGAGGUGUAAGACCUCGGCAUACUGCUCAGUAACACGUGGUUGACCUGCCCUAAGGUGGAGCAUACUCCCGGGAAACUGGGGCUAAUUCUCCAUAGUGGAUGUAUCCUGGAAUGGUAUAUCCUCGAAAGAUCCGUCGCCUUAGGAUGGGACUGCGUCCGAUUAGGUUGUUGGCGGGGUAACGGCCCACCAAGCCAUUGAUCGGUACGGGUUGUGGGAGCAAGAUCCCGGAGAUGGAUUCUGAGACAUGAAUCCAGGCCCUACGGGGCGCAGCAGGCGCGCAAACUUUACAAUGCGAGCAAUCGUGAUAAGGAAACCCCU